rnacentral:rRNA from 1 species
GUGUCAGCAGCCGCGGUAAUACGGAGGGUGCAAGCGUUAUCCGGAUUUAUUGGGUUUAAAGGGUGCGUAGGCGGUAUUUUAAGUCAGUGGUGAAAACUUGCAGCUUAACUGUAAGACUGCCAUUGAAACUGAAGUACUUGAGUUAUCUUGAGGUAGGCGGAAUGUGUAGUGUAGCGGUGAAAUGCUUAGAUAUUACACAGAACACCGAUUGCGAAGGCAGCUUACUAAGGAUACACUGACGCUCAGGCACGAAAGCGUGGGGAUCGAACAGGAUUAGAUACCCCCGUAGUCC